rnacentral:misc_RNA from 1 species
CCGAGUUUACCAACUCCCAAACCCCCUGUGAACUUAUACCACAAGACGUUGCUUCGGCGGGCGCCCCAACGCCCUCCCCCUAAGGGGGGCGGCCCGCCGGGGGACCCAAACCUCUGUAUUUUCUCCUUCGUGGCAUGUCUGAGUGGAAUCAUAGCAAAUGAAUCA